CCUACGGGUGGCUGCAGUGGGGAAUUUUGCGCAAUGCUCGUAAGAGUGACGCAGCGACGCCGCGUGAAUGACGAAGGCCUUCGGGUCGUAAAGUUCUUUCGACAGGGAAGAAAAUGCCUAUAAGUAACUGGGUAUGUAUUGAUGGUACCUGUAUAAGCAGCCCAGGGAAAUUCCGUUCCAGCAGCCGCGGUAAUACGGAGGGGGCGUGCGCUGUUCUGAGUGACUGGGGGUAAAGAGCACGUAGGCGGUGUUGUAAGUCAUUAGUCAAAGACUAGAGCUCAACUUUAAUAAUGCUAGUAAUACUAUUGUACUAGAGUAUCAGUGAGGAAUGCAGAAUGCAUGGUGUAGCGGUGAAAUGCGUAGAGAUCA
rnacentral:rRNA from 1 species